GGACGAGAACGUACUUUAAGCAGUCGCCAGUCAGUCAGGAAAGUGGAAGAACGCAUCACGGUCCGAGAGUAUUGAAAGAUUGUCAAUUGUUUGAGAGCCUAGAAGAGCGAGUCGACUUCUGGCUAGACCGGGACAACUGCACAGCAAAUGCCUGCUCGAUGCUUCCUCAUCUUCGUCCUCCCAGUAUCUGCACAGGUCGUUUUGAGGAACCCCGAGCCGACGUGCGUGAGUGCCCAAAAGGCAGUGGCCGAAUGUAGGAUGGCCAGAUUUGUCUGGUGGUAACGCAAGUAGUUUCCACUCGCCACCUCCGAUCAGCAAUGCUGUGAAAUUCUCGAUCAAUGAUCAUUUUACAUGUUGAGAGCGGAAUGUGGAUGGUGGUUACCUUCGAAUCCACUGUGACCCGGUAUCCAGAUAACUUGGACAGAAUUCUGAACACUUAUCUCGUUAAGAGACAGGAUCGAACCACAUCUAAGUGGGUAUAAGAGGAGCUGAGUGCUCGAACGGCCGCUUGACUGUCAGUGAAAAAGCGGAUAUCCUCUAGUGAUAUUCUCUUUUCUAAGAUAGUUUUCGCAGCAUACCAGAUAGCGCAUACUUCGGCUUGGAAUACACUACAGUAGUCGGUAAAAACACAUUUACAUAUAAAACUACAUACAACUACAUACAAACAUGUACAACAAAAAAUUCUAAAUACAUAAGUAUAUGUAUAUCCUCCUUAGCGGAACCAAGGAAAAAGGUAACUGCGCCCCUUUUCCGCAUUGUGCCAUUUAUUUAUGUAGUUUUGCGUCACCACCUACGUAUGGUAUGUAAGCAUGUAAUUUCCUAAUGAUCGAAGAUGACCCUCCUAGUCGACUCUCUACACUACAUAUGUAUGAGCUUCUACAAGAUGAAAAGGUGUAUGCAAUUGUAUGUGUGUGUGCAUGUUGGUGAGCAAAAAAUGUGUACAUAUGUAGGUAUGUAUAUGUGCCUUGUAUGUAUUUCAUGGUACUCGUCAGAGAAAAUAAAACGAGGGGGAAAUUGAGAAAGAAGCGUAUUUUUGGAGAAAUUUGGAAAUUUUAAUUUACCAAUUUUUGUUAUUUAGCAAACUAAGUAAUGAAUGUAAAAAUAUGUAUGGAAUUUUCCACCAGGAUCUCUUGUUCGAUCUAAGACACCGCUUUGAUAUUUCUUGGGCUUUGAGGUUUCAAAAAAUGUUUGGUAGAUAAGCAUCAUAAAGCGCAAAAUCUGCUGAUUAUUUCUUUAUUGCGGAUACGAGUCAACAUCGUUUCUAUAUAUAUAUAUAUAAUUGGUGCGUACACCCUCUUUGGGUGUUUGGCCGAGCUCCUCCUCCUAUUUGUGGCGAUUCUAGUAUUUCCUAUUUAAUGCGCUGUAAUAAGAUCCUCUUCAAAUUUUAAAAAUGUCACUGAAGAUAACAUAAAAAAAUUUACACAUUUCUAAAGGACACCGACUUACUCCGUCGUAU